UGUUACUCCGGUAGCACAUAUAUAAAAUUGGAACGAUCGAAGAAGAUUACAUGCCCCGCGCAAGGAUGACACGCAAAUUCGUGAAGCGUUCCUUCUUUAU
rnacentral:snRNA from 1 species